rnacentral:lncRNA from 1 species
AUGGGGCCACUGUCCAGAGAGGAGAAGACACUGCUCAGAGGGUGCUGGCCACACUGCUUUCAUACAGCUGGUUGCCUCCUCGUUCACGACUCCAGCGAGCAUCAGUGCGACCAGAGCGGGGAGCAGCGGUUCGGCCACCGUCGUUUCAGACAUGGCAGUCCUAAGAGCAGACGUCCCAGUUCCUUCUCCCCAGUCAGGCCUUUUUGUCACCUCCAGCUCUUCUCACUGCAGCUGAUACUGACCCCGUGCAAGGACCCCGAAGCCCUGCCGGAUCAGCAGAGAGUCUCCAGUGAGCAAGGGCAGAGCUCGCACGAUGUCGCGGACAGGGCAGGCUGCUACCUGCAGCAUUUCGUUUUCUUGGCGAAGGUGCCGUGGUGCAAUUUCCCAGGGGCCACCCAAACGCGGGCUCUCUCCAGCGUUGCAGGCUUGCUGGGCUUGCUGUGGGAUAACUUCAGCCCACGCUCUGAAGGCGGAGGUUGCGUGCCCUGCUGCCCUCCGGCAGCAGCAGGGUACGGAGCUAUCCUUGUGCUUGGCCCCCGGCCGGCAGAGCUGAAAGGGGCUUUAUGUCUUGCAGCUGUGAGCACUGGGCUGCAGCUGCCCUUUGCUCACGAGGCUGUAGUACUCUGGCUUUUCCCCUCCAGCUUAAACAGCGUAAACCCAUCCGGGGAACCUCCCGAGGAGAAACUGGGGCCACCAGCACAAGCAGUAGCCAAGCUAAACGGGGCCAUGCUGGGUCACGGAGCUGGUGAACAGCCGCG